rnacentral:rRNA from 1 species
ACGUCCCUGCCCUUUGUACACACCGCCCGUCGCUACUACCGAUUGAAUGGCUUAGUGAGUCCCUCGGAUUGGUGUCUGCCAGCUGGCAACAGCAGGCGAACGCUGAGAAGUUGGGCAAACUUGGUCAUUUAGAGGAAGUAAAAGUCGUAACAAGGUUUCCGUAGGUGAACCUGCGGAAGGAUCAUUACAGGGUUUCAAUGCCGCGCCCGCUCUCCGGCGGCCGGCAAUAACCACGAUCAUAUACCACUGUGUGCACUCAUUGAACUAUGGCCUCCCUCUGGGGCCUUGCCCCGGACGGGGGGUUUAUAUUUCCAAAACCCCAGCCUUACCGUCCGUCUGAUCUUUUUUGAUUACAAAAAAACAAAAAUACAACUUUCAACAACGGAUCUCUUGGCUCUCGCAUCGAUGAAGAACGCAGCGAAAUGCGAUACGUAUUGUGAAUUGCAGAAUUCAGUGAAUCAUCGAAUCUUUGAACGCAUAUUGCACUCCCUGGCAUUCCGGGGAGUAUGCCUGUUUCAGCAUCAUAAGCACCAUCGGAAACCCCCCUCGUCCUUCCGGGUGGGGGGAGCUUUCGGAUCUGGGCCUCUUUUUUUAUCGCGAGGGAUGGAAAUCCCGCGCUGGCCUGAAAUCGAAUCGCGCCGUGCAAAAACCAGGUUGGGGGGAGGGAGGUCCGCCUCUCCGACCCCAACCAACCCCGCGUCAAAGGCGUCAUAGUUGGCCACGAGUCAUCUUUCGCCCGGCGGUGGUCGCGCGGUCGCGCUUUUUCCCGUCGUCCCGACGGGAAAAACCAAAAGAAUUUUUUUCUUUCUUCAAAAAUUUGAUCUGAAAUCAGGCAGGAUUACCCGCUGAACUUAAGCAUAUCAAUAAGCGGAGGAAAAGAAACUAACAAGGAUUCCCCUAGUAACGGCGAGUGAAGCGGGAAGAGCUCAAAUUUGGAAUCUGGCGCCUCCGGCGUCCGAGUUGUAAGCUAGAGAGGCGGUUUUCGGCGGGCGCCUGGGUAUAAGUCCUCUGGAACAGGGCAUCAUAGAGGGUGAGAAUCCCGUCUUUGACCCGGAGCAGCCUGCUAUGUGAUACGCCUUCGAAGAGUCGGUUUGUUUGGGAAUGCAGACCAAAAUGGGUGGUAAAUUCCAUCUAAAGCUAAAUACAGGCGAGGGACCGAUAGCGAACAAGUACCGUGAGGGAAAGAUGAAAAGAACUUUGAAAAGAGAGUUAAACAGUACGUGAAAUUGUUGAAAGGGAAACGAUUGAAGCCAGUCGUACCGGCGGAUAAUCAGCCUUUCGAGUGCGAUUCUGUGGAGCGUGAGGAGCUUAAUCGCCUUCACGUCUUGCAUAUUCGUGCACUUUUGGUGUACUUGUCCGUGUGGUGAGUUAACAUCAAUUCCGGUCGGCAUAAAAUGAUUGGAGGAAUGUAGCUUCGAUCUCGUAUCGAAGUGUUAUAGACUCUGGUAGAUGUGACGAUUGGGAUUGAGGAUUGCAACGGAUACCCUUCGGGCUACCCGCCUGAUCUCUGAAGGUUGCUCCGGUGCCGAAAGCGUGCUUAUGGUCAUCGAAAGUGAUCGUCAAAAGGUUAGAACGGGUUAAAUUCGUUAAGGAUGUUGACGUAAUGGCUUUAAACGACCCGUCUUGAAACACGG